CAGCAGCCACGGUAAAACAGAGGGUGCGAGCGUUAAUCGGAUUUACUGGGCGUAAAGCGUGCGUAGGCGGCUUCUUAAGUCGGAUGUGAAAUCCCUGAGCUUAACUUAGGAAUUGCAUUCGAUACUGGGAAGCUAGAGUAUGGGAGAGGAUGGUAGAAUUACAGGUGUAGCGGUGAAAUGCGUAGAGAUCUGGAGGAAUACCGAUGGCGAAGGCAGCCAUCUGGCCUAAUACUGACGCUGAGGUACGAAAGCAUGGGGAGCAAACAGGAUUAGAUACCCCCGUAGUCCCUGUCUCUUAUAU
rnacentral:rRNA from 1 species